rnacentral:misc_RNA from 1 species
GAAAUGCGAUAAGUAAUGUGAAUUGCAGAAUUCAGUGAAUCAUCGAAUCUUUGAACGCACCUUGCGCUCCUUGGUAUUCCUUGGAGCAUGCCUGUUUGAGUAUCAUGAAAUCUUCAAAGUAAAUCUUUUGUUAACUCAAUUGGUUUCUACUUUGGUAUUGGAGGUCUUUGCAGCUUCACACCUGCUCCUCUUGUUCAUUAGCUGGAUCUCAGUGUUAUGCUUGGUUCCACUCGGCGUGAUAAGUUAUCUAUCGCUGAGGACACUGUAAAAGGUGGCCAAGGUAAAUGCAGAUGAACCGCUUCUAAUAGUCCAUUGACUUGGACAAUACUUUUAUGAUCAGAUCUCAAAUCAGGUAGGACUACCCGCUGAACUUAAGC